UACGGGAGGCAGCAGUGGGGAAUAUUGCACAAUGGGCGAAAGCCUGAUGCAGCUAUGCCGCGUGUAUGAAGAAGGCCUUAGGGUUGUAAAGUACUUUCAUCGGGGAGGAAAAAACAAAACUAAUAAUUUUAUUUCUUGACGUUACCCGAAAAAGAAGCACCGGCUAACUCCGUGCCAGCAGCCGCGGUAAUACGGAGGGUGCUAGCGUUAAUCAGAAUUACUGGGCGGUAAAGAGCACGUAGGUGGUUUUUUAAGUUCAGAUGUGAAAUCCCCGGGCUUAACCUAGGAACUGCAUUUUGAAACUGAAAUACUAGAGUAUCGUAGAGGGAGGUAGAAUUCUAGGUGUAGCGGUGAAAUGCGUAGAUAUCUGGAGGAAUACCUGUGGCGAAAGCGGCCUCCUAAACGAAUACUGACACUGAGGGUGCGAAAGCGUGGGGAGCAAACAGGGAUUAGAUACC
rnacentral:rRNA from 1 species